UACGUAGGGUGCGAGCGUUGUCCGAAGUUACUGGGCGUAAAGCGCGUGUAGGCGGGUUGCCAAGUCCGCUGUGAAAGCCCGAGGCUCAACCUCGGAGGGUCGGUGGAUACUGGCAGUCUUGAAGGUGCUAGGGGGAGAUGGAAUUACCGGUGUAGCGGUGAAAUGCGUAGAGAUCGGUAGGAACACCAGUGGCGAAGGCGGUCUCCUGGGGCAUUCUUGACGCUGAGACGCGAAAGCUGGGGGAGCGAACGGG
rnacentral:rRNA from 1 species